CGCGGAGCCCCGGGCCCAACACGGGCCCGCUGGGAGACCCGGGUCCGCGGGGAUACUCGGCCCAGUCGCAGCUUGGCCUGGGCCCCGGCCCCUGCCCGGCCCGGCCGCGCUCACCUAAUCCAGGCGCAGCCUCCGGGAUCCGGGCGACACAAAACCGGGACCAAGGAGAAGAGCAGAGGCGUCGCGGGCUACCCUCCCCCGAAAACAAUUCAGAGAACUGCUACCUUAUGGCAACUGCUCCAGCUGUCUCCGUUCCUCCGUGGUCCCCAUUACUAAAUGUAACCAUAAGCCAAUUAGUCAAGACAAAGAACUCCCUUCUCUGGCAUCGGCACAGACUCUGCUCACUCAGCUCCCGUGAGUUCUGAAGCCCUGCAAUCACCCCGGCGGCAGGCUAGAGGUGUUCCUUCUCGGCAGGAACGACAGCUACCACAGGGAGCCUCCACUGGGGCUUUAGCCGCUCUUAGAUAUAGAAACCAUUACAAAAUGGACAUGUCAAAUGCUCACAGCUCCACCUCCAUAGAGGUUUCUUCUUGCUUUGGUUGUGAAAAUUAAGAACCAUUGAAUAAAUGCGCAUUCACUGAGAGGAAGAGUGUGAACCCUACAACUGAGUCCUGCUAAUGGCAUAAUCUACCCUAAAAGGACACCAAUAAUGCCUAUAAGGAAGCGAUUUUUAUGAAGUACCACCGCUGUCACACAUCAGUCCUUCUCCGGCAGGGACUGCAGCAUGGGGGUAUACAUGGCAGGGAAAGAGGCUCAAGGGCUGCUGCUAUGAGCAGGGUCCCAAACACUUCAGAAAUCAAACCACAAAAAAACUAUGGAAGGCUUUUUCAUGGUUAAGUUUACAAAUUUCAUCUGAUCUCCCUUCUAGCUUCUGAGGGAACUAGCUCAGGCCAAUGCAUCCAGUCAGCACAGGCGCUUCACCAAAGCAGCUGAUUUAAUGCUUUUGGGUAUGGCCUGUGCCUCACAUCUCUCUUGCUGCUCACCAACUUUUCUGUGGAAACACCAGAUAGUCCAAACACCUCUGCCCUCUACACUUCACAUUCCUGAGUGACCUUAUUCCAAAUUGUGAUACCUCCAUUCUUUCCUAUUUUCAUCAUUACUACCGCAGAAGGUUCUCUCAAUUGGAAGCACACAGUGGCUGCAGCAGCAGUUGGGGGUGGAUGCUGUGACAAGCAGCGGUCGUGCAGUGGUGCCCUGUUGCCAGAAAAUAAACCCACAGCCUCCCUCCCCCCAAGCAGGUUUCCAUUCUCAGACAUGGUUUAAUUUCAUCCUCUCUCUGUUCCCACAGACUGAGACUCCCAUGUCAUGUAGCUUUUUAAACUGUGAGGCUGGUGUUCUAACCCCCAUCAACAUGAACAACAGGCUAACUAGGAAACUAUGAGGCACAGCAACAUCAGAGAAGACAAGGAGAAAAACAAAGGGUUUAUCUCCAGUAUCAGGAGUAUAACUUAAUUGUGUUAAACAUCUCUAUCAACACAGACACCCUGUUCCAACUUUAUUUUUAAUAGCAAACAUUGUGGGGAUUAUAGGUCUGUGAGAACUUUGUCUUUCUAUCGUCUCCCUCUGACACUUGUCUUUUUCCUCCAAAUCUUAUAAUUUGUAUUUGUAAUUCUGAGCAUCACUUGUUACCAUACCCAGUUGUUCCAGAAUAUUUUUUUUACCUUACAAAUGAAAUCACUACUAAAGUAGCAUUUCCACUGCAAUUAAAUGUUACUUUAAUUCAUUUAUAGAUACUGAACUGCUGUUGACUUGUGAAAUUUCGAUUGCUCAGAAUUACAUCUGCUGCAUCCUUCAAUGCAUAACAGAAUAAGCCAAACCACUGUUUAUAUUUAUUAGGCUUGAGGACUAGAAGAAACCUGCCUUUAAAUUUGCCUUUUUCCCUAAUCUGUACCCAGGGAUGAACUAAGCAAAGAAUUAUGUUUUGUG
ensembl:lncRNA